UGGGGAAUAUUGCACAAUGGGCGCAAGCCUGAUGCAGCCAUGCCGCGUGUGUGAAGAAGGCCUUCGGGUUGUAAAGCACUUUCAGCGGGGAGGAAGGCGUUAAGGUUAAUAACCUUGGCGAUUGACGUUACCCGCAGAAGAAGCACCGGCUAACUCCGUGCCAGCAGCCGCGGUAAUACGGAGGGUGCAAGCGUUAAUCGGAAUUACUGGCCGUAAAGCGCACGCAGGCGGUCUGUCAAGUCGGAUGUGAAAUCCCCGGGCUCAACCUGGGAACUGCAUUCGAAACUGGCAGGCUAGAGUCUUGUAGAGGGGGGUAGAAUUCCAGGUGUAGCGGUGAAAUGCGUAGAGAUCUGGAGGAAUACCGGUGGCGAAGGCGGCCCCCUGGACAAAGACUGACGCUCAGGUGCGAAAGCGUGGGGAGCAAACAGG
rnacentral:rRNA from 1 species